GGCCGCCUGGCGAAAUGGCAUCGCGUCUGACUACGAUUGGGAAUCAAUAUGGAGUUUGUAAUCAGGAGAUUGCAGGUUCGACCCCUGCGGUGGUCA